UGUGGGAGCGGGCUUGCUCGCGAAGGCGGAGUGUCAGUCAGCACACCUUUAUCUGACACACCACAUUCGCGAGCAAGCCCGCUCCCACA
rnacentral:misc_RNA from 1 species